rnacentral:tRNA from 1 species
GGGUCGUUAGCUCAGUCGGUAGAGCAGUUGACUCUUAAUCAAUUGGUCGUAGGUUCGAUCCCUAGCACGACCCACCA